rnacentral:lncRNA from 1 species
GCCCCUUUGACAACCCCCAGACGUCCAGGGGUUGUCACCUAAUAACCCCUCAAAGCUUGAUACUGGAAUGGGUUGAUGCCAAGAUCUCUUAUUUUGAGUGGAUGGCUCUUAUAGCUUGUUACAAUUUGAAGGUGAUGAUAUCAAGUUUUGUUCGUAAUCAAUAAUUUUUCAUUCAAUCUUGAACUUUUAAUUUGAAGUUCAUCUUUAACAGCACUUAGUCAUCCCGCAAGAACUUGCUGCUUGGUUAACUUGCUCAUUAUUGCAGUGUUCAGUGUCGAUCAUGCAUCUUGUGUAAACUCAAAGUUCCCCUUUCUUUUUUGAGGAAUGUACCUUCUACUUUCUUCAAUUUAGAAAACUAGAUUCUCAUAGUGAGGUGCUUUGAGUCAGCGAAGCGUUGGAAUAGUGCCGAAGCCCCCUUUAAGCUGUCUUUUUAGCUUAUCUAUAAUUGCAACAAACUUAAAUUCAACGGUAACAUGAUUCUUUCUUUUAUACUUAGAAACAGUGUGAGAUAAGAUAAGC